rnacentral:tRNA from 1 species
CAUUAGAUGACUGAAAGCAAGUAUUAGCCUCUUAAGCUAUUUUAUAGUAAUUAGCAACUACUUCUAAUGA